rnacentral:rRNA from 1 species
ACGUACACUCCUACGGGAGGCAGCAGUGGGGAAUAUUGGACAAUGGGCGCAAGCCUGAUCCAGCCAUGCCGCGUGAGUGAUGAAGGCCCUAGGGUUGUAAAGCUCUUUCACCGGUGAAGAUAAUGACGGUAACCGGAGAAGAAGCCCCGGCUAACUUCGUGCCAGCAGCCGCGGUAAUACGAAGGGGGCUAGCGUUGUUCGGAUUUACUGGGCGUAAAGCGCACGUAGGCGGACUAUUAAGUCAGGGGUGAAAUCCUGGGGCUCAACCCCGGAACUGCCUUUGAUACUGGUAGUCUUGAGUUCGAGAGAGGUGAGUGGAAUUCCGAGUGUAGAGGUGAAAUUCGUAGAUAUUCGGAGGAACACCAGUGGCGAAGGCGGCUCACUGGCUCGAUACUGACGCUGAGGUGCGAAAGCGUGGGGAGCAAACAGGAUUAGAUACCCUUGUAGUCCCAUG